AUUGAACGCUGGCGGCAUGCUUUACACAUGCAAGUCGAACGGUAACAGGUUAAGCUGACGAGUGGCGAACGGGUGAGUAAUGCAUCGGAACGUGCCCAGUCGUGGGGGAUAACGCAGCGAAAGCUGCGCUAAUACCGCAUACGAUCUAUGGAUGAAAGCGGGGGACCGUAAGGCCUCGCGCGAUUGGAGCGGCCGAUGUCAGAUUAGGUAGUUGGUGGGGUAAAGGCUCACCAAGCCAACGAUCUGUAGCUGGUCUGAGAGGACGACCAGCCACACUGGGACUGAGACACGGCCCAGACUCCUACGGGAGGCAGCAGUGGGGAAUUUUGGACAAUGGGCGCAAGCCUGAUCCAGCAGUGCCGCGUGCAGGAAGAAGGACUUCGGGUUGUAAACUGCUUUUGUACGGAACGAAAAGGCUCUGGUUAAUACCUGGGGCUCAUGACGGUACCGUAAGAAUAAGCACCGGCUAACUACGUGCCAGCCGCCGCAGUAA
rnacentral:rRNA from 1 species